rnacentral:rRNA from 1 species
AUUGAACGCUGGCGGCAUGCCUAACACAUGCAAGUCGAGCGGAGCGGCGGACGGGUGAGUAAUGCCUAGUAAUCUGCCUGGUGGUGGGGGAUAACGUCCGGAAACGGGCGCUAAUACCGCAUACUAUCAGAUGAGCCUCGGGCGGAUUAGCUAGUUGGAGGGGUAAAGGCCUACCAAGGCGACGAUCCGUAACUGGGCUGAGAGGAUGAUCAGUCACACUGGAACUGAGACACGGUCCAGACUCCUACGGGAGGCAGCAGUGGGGAAUAUUGGACAAUGGGCGAAAGCCUGAUCCAGCAAUGCCGCGUGUGUGAAGAAGGUUUUCGGAUUGUAAAGCACUUUAAGUAGGGAGGCGUUACCUACAGAAUAAGCACCGGCUAACUUCGUGCCAGCAGCCGCGGUAAUUC